rnacentral:rRNA from 1 species
AACGAACGCUGGCGGCAGGCUUAACACAUGCAAGUCGAGCGGGCCCUUCGGGGUCAGCGGCGGACGGGUGAGUAACGCGUGGGAACGUGCCCUCUUCUACGGAAUAGCCCAGGGAAACUUGGAUUAAUGCCGUAUACGCCCGAAAGGGGAAAGAUUUAUCGGAGGAGGAUCGGCCCGCGUUGGAUUAGGUAGUUGGUGGGGUAAUGGCCUACCAAGCCGACGAUCCAUAGCUGGUUUGAGAGGAUGAUCAGCCACACUGGGACUGAGACACGGCCCAGACUCCUACGGGAGGCAGCAGUGGGGAAUCUUGGACAAUGGGGGCAACCCUGAUCCAGCCAUGCCGCGUGAACGAUGAAGGCCUUAGGGUUGUAAAGUUCUUUCAGCUGGGAAGAUAAUGACGGUACCAGCAGAAGAAGCCCCGGCUAACUUCGUGCCAGCCGCCGCCGUAAGAC